UUGCUUUGGCAACAAAUAACUUAAAAUGGGAAUGAUACAGAGAAGAUACCUAUGGCCUCUGCACAAGGAUGACAUGCAAAUUAGAGAAGUAUUCCUUAUUUUU